CAGCAGCCACGGUAAUACGUAGGUGGCAAGCGUUGUCCGGAAUUAUUGGGCGUAAAGCGCGCGCAGGCGGAUAGGUCAGUCUGUCUUAAAAGUUCGGGGCUUAACCCCGUGAUGGGAUGGAAACUGCCAAUCUAGAGUAUCGGAGAGGAAAGUGGAAUUCCUAGUGUAGCGGUGAAAUGCGUAGAUAUUAGGAAGAACACCAGUGGCGAAGGCGACUUUCUGGACGAAAACUGACGCUGAGGCGCGAAAGCCAGGGGAGCGAACGGGAUUAGAUACCCCUGUAGUCCCUGUCUCUUAUACA
rnacentral:rRNA from 1 species